GUACUUGCUCAGGCAGUACAUCAACUAAAAUUGGAGCGAUACAGAGAAGAUUAGCAUGGCCCCUGCAAAAGGAUGACACGCAAAAUCGCGGAAGCGCCUCUUUUCUU